UGGCUUUUGGAGGGGCCUGCGGCCUAUCAGCUAGAUGGCGAGGUAACGGCUCACCAUGGCGACGACGGGUAGCUGGUCUGAGAGGAUGGUCAGCCGGACUGGGACUGAGACACGGCCCAGACUCCUACGGGGGGCAGCAAUUAGGAAUCUUGCGCAAUGGGGGCAACCCUGACGCAGCGACGCCGCGUGGAGGACGACGGCCUUCGGGUUGUAAACUCCUUUUAAGUGGGAAGAAAACAAUUGACGGUACCACUUGAAUAAGCCCCGGCUAACUCCGUGCCAGCAGCCGCGGUAAUACGGAGGGGGCGAGCGUUGUCCGAAGUUACUGGGCGUAAAGCGCGCGUAGGCGGGUUGGUAAGUCCGCUGUGAAAGCCCGGAGCUCAACUCCGGAGGGUCGGUGGAUACUGCCAGUCUUGAAGGUGCUAGGGAGAAGCGGAAUUACAGGUGUAGCGGUGAAAUGCGUAGAUAUCUGUAGGAACACCAGUGGCGAAGGCGGCUUCUUGGGGCAUUCUUGACGCUGAUGCGCGAAAGCUGGGGGAGCGAACGGGAUUAGAUACCCCGGUAGUCCCAGCCCUAAACGAUGGAUACUAGGUGUCAGGGGUAUCGACCCCCCUGGUGCCGCAGCUAACGCAGUAAGUAUCCCGCCUGGGGAGUACGGCCGCAAGGUUGAAACUCAAAGGAUUGACGGGGGCCACGCACAAGCCGUG
rnacentral:rRNA from 1 species